AUGCACCAACCACCAUGAAACCUCAAAAAAAGGAAGGAACUUUAAAAAAUGAGGAGAAAAAAAGAGAAAACUACCGCGGCGUGACGUCAGACGCCGAAAAGGUGGCCGCGUGCAUCAGCUCCUGUGUAAAAACGCAGCAAGGCGCUCCAGGAUGGCGUGUUCGACCUGGUCCAGAUUGGUGGCCUGUCCAGAAUGGAACAACUUGCUUCCUGCUCACGGAGACCUGGUCGGACCCGCCAUAUACAAAAGCCUGAGGCUGUCAAAAAAAGAUUGAUCUUCAUGAAGAUAGUCAAAUAGUAGGUGUCAUGAUUUAAUUCUGGGUGGCCGCCGCGUCCCCACUCUUUCUUGGCCGCUGUGCCUACAUCUCUCUGCAUUGUCCAACAUGGCCACGUUCUUUCUAUUCUCCUGCUUUCCAUCUGUCAAAUAGCUGAGGGUUGUACAUGGAGCAUUUUCCACAGGUUGGUUAUGUAUGUUCCUGUCCACUUUAUUGGGUGGUCUGAAAUCUGGUCCUUGGUUAUAUUUUUGUGGAACUGCUGAGCGAGUGAUUUGAAAGAAUCAGGUGACUGAUGGAGUGUUUGACAUUCUCUCUCUGAAUGAAUGCUUUGUGUGUGACUGAGAUGCCUGGUUUGAAUAGUUAAGAUGGUCUGAGAAUAUGAUUAUGUUCAGCAGUUCAUAUUAAAGUAGAUAUGGUGUCUUGAAGGGCUUAGAUGAUUGAUAUAAUGCACUAACAUUUCCUUUUUAGGUCUGUCUACAAAGGGUGAGUACAUAUUUUUUUCAUUUCUUCUCUGGGGGCUACUCUCUUGGCCUCCAUGUGUGGUAGGGUUUGCAGAGU